rnacentral:misc_RNA from 1 species
GAUGAAGAACGUAGCGAAAUGCGAUAAGUAAUGCGAAUUGCAGAAUUCAGUGAGUCAUCGAAUCUUUGAACGCACAUUGCGCCCUGUGGUAUUCCGCAGGGCAUGCCUGUUCGAGCGUCAUUUCAACCCUCAAGCCCCGCUUGGUGUUGGGCCCCGCCCGCCGUGGCCGGCCCUAAAGACAGUGGCGGCGCCGCCUGGCCCUCAGCGUAGUACAGCUCUCGCUCCAGGGUCCGGCGGCCGCCUGCCAGAACCCCCCAACUCUGUGGUUGACCUCGGAUCAGGUAGGGAUACCCGCUGAACUUAAGCAUAUCAAUAAGCGGAGGA